GCCAGCUUGAUGGCGCCGACAGAGAUGGUCGUCUUGCUUCGCGUUCUUAGGAAACUAUGCAGAAUUUAGCUUUUUUAUGUAUUAUUUCUUACACUGUUACCCCAGGAAAUCUUAAGUCUUAUUACAUACAGCUGGGAAGAACUAUUGGAUAUAAGAGCAACGUAAACGUACAAACAUUACGACCAGGAAUACGACUUUCCCGAAGUGGAUCCUCUGUUCAGACCACCACCCAGGACAAUGGAAUGGAUCCCAGUAGGCGACCCAAAACAACGGCGCCGCAGAAGGGGCAAGACACACGGAGCGGUCUUCUGGUCAGGCUUCGUUGACGGCCACAUUGCUCACCGCUCCCGAGUAUACUACUCGCCAAUGUCCAUUCUCUUGACAACAAGGUAGACGAAAUUCGAGCAAGGGUUGCCUUCCAGAGAGACAGAGAUUGUAACAUUCUCUGUUUAACGGAAACAUGGCUCACUCGGGAUACCUUAUCAGAGUCGGUACAGCAACCCGGUUUCUUCACGCAUCGCACUGACAGAAACAAACAUCUCUCUGGUAAGAAGAAGGGCGGGGGUGUAUUCCUUAUGAUUAAUUCUUUCAAAAACAAGAACAUUUCUAAGUGACCCCAAACUUUUGAACGGUAGUGUAUAUAUUUACCAAAACAUUAUAUGGGGGAUUGGAAAUGAUGCAGACAAUUACAUUGAUAGAAGCAACACUCUAUCUGCAAAAUUAAAGCUGAUCCAUCCCCUGAGUCUUUGAAUUUUUUUUAACAAAACAAUAUAAAGACAAAAAAAAAACUAGAGCACAGGAACACGCUGGAAGGACUUGACCAACUGGCAACAGACAAGCAGAAAACGCAGGAGAGGAUGCCUAGCGGCUGUAUCCAAGAGGCAGAAAAAAUAAUGGUCCUACGUCCAACGCUUUCAAUAGAGGAGGGGGAAAAGCUUUGGACACUGAGACUUGCGUUUCAACUAGCCAGCGAGCUCUUCAAACAAAACCUAACACUUGUGAAAUGGGAUACAAUCAAACUCAGGGUGCUCCAAGACUUUCUUGCUCGACAAAAUAUGUACUAUUUGGAAUAAGUCAGAGACGUGUCUGCAUCAAAACCUUCCAAUUGGAGAUCUGGUUAAGAACUACUUCAAACAGCUGGGCAACUUUCUUUCACGUGAGUAUUUCAGCUCCUGCUCAUGGGAGGUCAUGAGAGCUGAAAUCGGGAGCAUCCUGAAGGAUUUUUACAAGAAAUCAAAAAUGCCAAAAAUGUGAGAGUAGUAUUACUUUUAGUUAAUUUCUGCAAAAAAUGAAUAAAUGAAAUUUGCUACUGUGAG
rnacentral:lncRNA from 1 species